rnacentral:rRNA from 1 species
AACGAACGCUGGCGGCAUGCCUAACACAUGCAGGUCGAACGAGACCUUCGGGUCUAGUGGCGCACGGGUGCGUAACGCGUGGGAACCUGCCCUUAGGUUCGGAAUAACUCCCCGAAAGGGGUGCUAAUACCGGAUAAUGUCUUCGGACCAAAGAUUUAUCGCCUUUGGAUGGGCCCGUGUUGGAUUAGCUAGUUGGUAGGGUAAAAGCCUACCAAGGCGACGAUCCAUAGCUGGUCUGAGAGGAUGAUCAGCCACACUGGGACUGAGACACGGCCCAGACUCCUACGGGAGGCAGCAGUGGGGAAUAUUGGACAAUGGGCGAAAGCCUGAUCCAGCAAUGCCGCGUGAGUGAUGAAGGCCUUAGGGUUGUAAAGCUCUUUUACCCGGGAUGAUAAUGACAGUACCGGGAGAAUAAGCUCCGGCUAACUCCGUG